rnacentral:rRNA from 1 species
AUUGAACGCUGGCGGCAGGCUUAACACAUGCAAGUCGAACGAGUGGCGGACGGGUGAGUAAUGCUUGGGAAUCUGGCUUAUGGAGGGGGAUAACCACGGGAAACUGUCGCUAAUACCGUGUACCCUAGGAUGCGCCCAAGUGGGAUUAGGUAGUUGGUGGGGUAAUGGCCUACCAAGCCCACGAUCUCUAGCUGGUCUGAGAGGAUGACAGCCCAGCCGGGGACUGGGCCAGGGCCCGAAAUCUUACGGGGGGAGUCGGUGGGGAAUUUGGCGCAAUGGGGGCAACCUGACGCGGCAUGCCCGCGUGAUUGAAGAAGGCUUUCGGGUGUUAAAGUUCUUUAGGUGGCAUGGCGUUACUCACAGAAGAAGCACCGGCUAACUCCGUGCCAGCCGCCGCGGUAAUUC